rnacentral:tRNA from 1 species
GGUGGCUCAGGGGUAGAGUGCUUGCCUUGCAUGCAUGAGGCUCUGGGUUCAAUUCCUCAGCACCA